UGGGGAAUUUUGGACAAUGGGCGCAAGCCUGAUCCAGCCAUGCCGCGUGCGGGAAGAAGGCCUUCGGGUUGUAAACCGCUUUUGUCAGGGAAGAAAUCUUCUGAGUUAAUACCUCGGGAGGAUGACGGUACCUGAAGAAUAAGCACCGGCUAACUACGUGCCAGCAGCCGCGGUAAUACGUAGGGUGCAAGCGUUAAUCGGAAUUACUGGGCGUAAAGCGUGCGCAGGCGGUUUUGUAAGACAGAGGUGAAAUCCCCGGGCUCAACCUGGGAAACUGCCUUUGUGACUGCAAGGCUUGAGUGCGGCAGAGGGGGGAAUGGAAUUCCGCGUGUAGCAGUGAAAAUUGCGUAGAUAUGCGGAGGAACACCGAUGGCGAAGGCAAUCCCCUGGGCCUGCACUGACGCUCAUGCACGAAAGCGUGGGGAGCAAACAGGGAUUAGAUAGCCCUGGUAGUCCACGCCCUAAAACGAUGUCAACUGGUUGUU
rnacentral:rRNA from 1 species